rnacentral:lncRNA from 1 species
AUGCUUCGGGUACCUGGCUGUGGAAGGAAGAAUAGAAAUUGCAAUAACAAAAUCCUAAUUCUAAUAGAAUACUAACAAUACUCUAAUUAGACUAUAAUAAUGGUAAACAAACAUAAUCAAAUUCAAAACAACUCAAAGAAAUUUCAAACAAAUAAUAAAAUUCAUAAAGAAAUAUUAAAAUGAUCACAAAUAUUACUCAAAUAUAUGUCAAUUCAACCUUAAUUUAAUUCUAGUUAAAACCCUAUUGAAUUUCACUCAAACUUUAGACCAAACCUAAUUAAAUCUUAAAUCCUAAUAAAUCCUAAAUCUUGAGUCAAAUCUUAAAUAAUCCUUAAAUUAAACCCUAAAUCAAAUCCUAUUUCAAACCCUAAACCCUAAAUCAAACCCUAAAUCAACCCUAAAUCCUAAUCCAAAUCCUAAAUCCUAAACCAAAUCUUAAAUCAAACCCUAACCAAACCCUAAUUCAAAUCCUAAAUCAAA